rnacentral:rRNA from 1 species
CUUUUGUAAUUGCAAUCAGCGUCAGUAACAAAUUAAUACCCCCCCCUUUCAACAACGGAUCUCUUGGUUCUGGCAUCGAUGAAGAACGCAGCGAAAUGCGAUAAGUAGUGUGAAUUGCAGAAUUCAGUGAAUCAUCGAAUCUUUGAACGCACAUUGCGCCCUUUGGUAUUCCAAAGGGCAUGCCUGUUCGAGCGUCAUUUGUACCCUCAAGCUUUGCUUGGUGUUGGGCGUCUUGUCUCUAGCUUUGCUGGAGACUCGCCUUAAAGUAAUUGGCAGCCGGCCUACUGGUUUCGGAGCGCAGCACAAGUCGCACUCUCUAUCAGCAAAGGUCUAGCAUCCAUUAAGCCUUUUUUUCAACUUUUGACCUCGGAUCAGGUAGGGAUACCCGCUGAACUUAAGCAUAUCAAUAAGCGGAGGAA